rnacentral:rRNA from 1 species
UACAGAGGUCUCAAGCGUUGUUCGGAUUCAUUGGGCGUAAAGGGUGCGUAGGCGGCGCGGUAAGUCGGGUGUGAAAUCUUGGAGCUUAACUCCGAAACUGCAUUCGAUACUGCCGUGCUUGAGGACGGGAGAGGAGACUGGAAUUUACGGUGUAGCGGUGAAAUGCGUAGAUAUCGUAAGGAAGACCAGUGGCGAAGGCGGGUCUCUGGACAGUUCCUGACGCUGAGGCACGAAGGCCAGGGGAGCAAACGGG